rnacentral:lncRNA from 1 species
UCCGUCGCGUGGUGCAAAUCUUCAACGGUUUUCGGUGGAGGGAGGAAGGGAGGAAGAAAAGGGGGAGAACCCAAGGUGAUUUUUGUGUUUAUCUCUUGUUCAUUUUAUGCGGCAAUCCAAUUGUUUAGAUGUUGUGGGUGCAAUUCGUUGGAAGGGCUGUCCAGAAUUUUAAGGGGGUGGACGAACAGCAGCAGAAUUAGUGAUUUCUGGGAAUUUUUCAUGGAGAAUUAAGGGGAAUCAGUUUGGGAAUCAUGUAGAACUUUGGCAUACCUUUCCAACGAGUAUUUAUGCGCUCAAUUUGGAGUUAUAAAUUAAAAGUUAUCACCGUUUGAAACCGGGUAGGUGGCUGUCCAAAAAACAGAUUUUAAGGGGGAUGAACAGCAGCAUUAUUAGCAGUUUCUGGGGAUUUUUCGGGAGUAAUUAGUGUUAAUCAGUAUGAGAAUCAUGUAGGGCUUUAUGUUAUAUUUCCAACAAGUACUUAUGCGCUCGAUUCGGAGUUAUAAUUUAGGAGAUAUCGUUGUUUGAAUCCGGUUAUGUUGCUGUCCAAAAAAACAGAUUUUCAGGUGGGUGAACAGCAGUGGUAUUAGCAGUUUCUGGGAUUUUUCGUGGGUAAUUAGUGUUAACCAGUAUGAUAAUCAUGUAGGGAUUUGUCUUAUAUUUCCAAUGAGUACUUAUGCGCUUGAUUUGGAAUUAUAUUUUAAAAGAUAUCGCUGUUUGAAUCCGGGUAUGUCGCUGUCCAAAAGACAAAGAAAAACAGAUUACAGGGUUCAUCUUGUGGACUGUUUUGGGCUAAUUAGAUUUUGGAAUUUAAUUAUAAAUUGUAUACAAAACUUGUGGGGAAUUUUAUGUAGAUGCCUCUGGAGUUUUUGUUUGUUACCACUGCUUUCAUAAUUUUAAAGUUAUGAAAUUAUUAAGCAGUGCUGCUGCAGUUUGGUGGGUGUAGGGAGAGAUGUAACCCGCGGCGGGGUUUGAGUUUGUGCGUAGUUGCGGCGUCACUUAUGAGCCUGAUUAUGUGAAAUUGGUGCACUAAGUUGGGUGUCAAAAACAGGUGGUGGACUUCCGGAUCGUACUUAGGGAUUUGCCCAAACUUUCGGUAAAGGCAAGUAAAUACAGUGGUGGUUGCUACCGUUAGGUUUGCAUCCUAUUCCCUGUCAUUGAGUAUGCAUAAGUUUUAAUUAUGUUAAUCAUUGAAUUCUAUGAUGAAGUUUAUUUGUUUGAAAGUAUUAAUUCUCAAUUGUCUAAUAUUGUGGAUGAUCAUAAUUUGGUAAUGAUAUAUGUGGUUGAUUCCCAUCUUGGAUGAAGUUGAAGUAUCUUUUUGAGUCAUGUUAUAUGAAGUAUUGUAGGCAUGACAUGCACAUCACAUCAUCCAUCUUGCAUUUUGAAGUUAUGUCGUGAUCUUAUGGUCCGACCGUACCGGUACAUUUUUAGCAUCGUACGUUGCCCGAGGAGGGGUACGAUGCGGCUUCAUAUCCUUAGUGGUAUGAAAGCAGAAGUCAUCCUUGCAUUUGCAGACAUUUGCACUCAUGAGGAAUAUAUGAAGUGUGACAUUACUAUAUUACUAUUGUGGUUUCUACCUGCGAGGUGUGGUAACUAGUUGUGUUGUACGUUGUAUACGUGUUGCACCUUCGUAAUAAGAAGGUUGUGGAAUCAAGUGGUGGUAAAACAAUGUUCUUAUGUGGUUAAACUGUUUGAUAUUAUUUUACUUGCUGAGAUGUGUCAUCACACUCUUGCAUUACUCAAUGCAGGUACUUGAUACAUGUUGGGAAUGAGGGGAGUAGCAGCACGUCCACUUUUACUCUCACAAUAACGCUGCCCAGGCGCAACCAUGAUUUAAUUAGAAACUUAUUGUCAAAGGAAGUUUGUUUUCUUUAUAUGGUCGUGCACACUGGUUAAUUCAGUUCAGGUCGUAUGUUUAUCUUCCCUUGCUAGUCGAUCAAUAAUACUUAGUAUGUUUAGUCAUGUUAUAUGUUUAUACUCUGUUGCCCCCUCUUUUAUGCAAUCUUGCAAAGGGGAUGCUGCCGAAUUUUAUAUAUGGACGUCGGAAGUGUAGUUCAGUAGCAUUCCAGGUUGUUUGUGGAACCCGGAGUGUUACAGUUGGUAUCAGAGGAUAGGCUUUAGAUUCUACGCAAUUUGAAGAUAAAUUUGACACACUUGCACAUAUAGGAAGGGUAUGGGUUCAUAUAUCUUUCAUAUUAGUAUUUUAUUGUAUAGAUGACUAGAAUUUCCUUACUCUAAAUCCCUUUAUGGUUUGAUGGGGUAUGCCGUUAACGACGUAAUGCUUGAUAUGAAAUGUUACUUCUAUUUAAUAUUGGUUUCUUGAUGUGGUUGUUAUUGAAAUUAUUAUGCAAGUGGAGCUACUAAUGUACUUGUUUUAUAUACAUAUCGUCAUGAUGUUUUUUUGGGAUGCAAUGUUUACUAAUCUCUGAGCUAUUACCAUCAUAUAUUUCUAUAUGCUUGACUGUGGAUGUUUUUUUUCCCAAAAGGAUUCUUGGGUUCUAGUACUUGUAGGACCAAUUGUUUAUUGAGUUUGUGUAUAGAGGAUCUAAUCCGACUUGGUGUAGUGUGAAAACACUAUACAAUGUAGUUUUAUGGUGUUGUUGAGUUUGAUUGACUGUUGGGUUACAACCCAACUUAUCAAUGUAAUAUUUCCAUGGGUGCAGUGCUUUACACCUCACCUUUUUUUGGCUAGUGUGGCUACUUGCCAACUUGAUCUUAGAGUACAAUAGGUUUGUCUCCAUAGAGCAAAGGCAAUGUUGUACUGUCUAUGAAAUCUUGAGACUGGUAGAACUCAAGUGAAUUUGUAAGAUGACGUGGAUAGAUAAGUUCAACCAUGUUUACAUGAUAGGUUUUCUUAUUGUGUGCAACCUUAUCUUUAAUAAUAAAUAGGGUGAUUUCAAGUGGAUUUUAUGUCUAUAUUAUAGUUGAAGAGGCAUGCAUGUUUUCCUUCUAUGGUUUGUUUCUAUAGCCAAAAAGGUUAUGCAUAAUUUUUAUUUGUUGGAGGCUAGUCAUGUGGACGAUAUGGACAACCUGUUUUAUAUUGUUUUUAAUCGCCGAUGAUAUAUGGUAGUUUUUUUUAUAUGAUCAGUUCUCUAUGCAUGCUUGUUGAAUUAUUAUUUGGACCGCUUUAUCUUAAACAAAGUCAAUGUUUAACUGGAAGUUGCUUAUGUUUGUUAGUCAUCUAUCUCUAUAAUGAUGUGGUUGUUGCAUCAGAUGGAGAUUUUUUUAUAUGAAUGAUGGUUUGAUAGAUCAUGUAUGUCUACUACUUUGAAUUCAUCCUAUGACAUCACUAGGUACAAAUUGUUCAAGUGCAAUAAUAGGAGGUAUUGUUGUAUGUGAGGUUAAUCAAGGUAGUUUGGUUAGGUGGAUUGUCUUAUUGAAGUCCAAUUACUCCUGCUGAGCUUAGUAUCGUGUUAUUAUUUUAGUGUUGAAAGUAAUAUUUAUGAAGCUUUUGCAUGAGUCUGUGUCAAGAAGUACAUUAGUUUUUCUUGUUGUUAUCCCUCCAUUGCUUUAUGAGUAUUGCAAAUUUUAUCUCUUUUGAGAGGAGAAAAAGAUGUUAUAUGACAUGAGCACCAUUUGCUUCACGUCAACAGAAUAGUUUUGGAGAUUUCUAGUAGUUGGAUUCUAGUGUAAUAACAACCAUGUUUUAUAGUGCUGGAGACGAGUAUGUCAGGUGUUUCAUACAUUGUCGAUACAUGGAUGUUUGACCUUAGUGGCAUUAACAAACGAGGUUGUUGAAUUCAUUGAUUGUUGUGCUUAGUGUUCUAACCUAUUUGGUAGAGUGUUAUUUAAAGACUUUGUGGAGUUGCAUCCCAGUUUGGUAGUGGAAAAUCCUAGUGUUGAUUGCACCUGCCAAUGACUUGGGUUUUAUUUUAUAUUGUUUUUUUAUUGUUGUUAAUGUGUUGUUUGGUUUCGGGAGGCAUUUUAAAUUAGUUGGAGGCUGAAUCAGGUUUCACUUAUCUAGAAUGUUUUGUAGUAUGUUUCUUCAUCUUUCCAUAGAAUGCUUAAUCACCAUGUUUGGUCUAAACAUUUGAGAGAUAUGGGUUUCUUAAAACAUCUUUGUUGGUGUCUCUAGCAGAGUGAGUCUUUAAUUUUGUACGGAAGAGUAGACAUUGAAGACGGUAUAAUUUGGUCUUUGUGGAUUAUGAAAGUUUUAGUAAUUUCAUGAUCUUUUCAAAGAGUAUGUGUUUCUAAUUCUCAUUGCAUAUAAUUGGAGUUAGGUUGCUCUGAAGUUGUUGCACUGUUGUGUCUGAACUUUAGGCGUCGUUAUAAUCACCAAUAAAUCGACCGCGUUUUGAUAGUUGCAGAGCACAAAUUUGCGAAUUCUCUUUAAGAAAAACUUGUAGGUCUUUUCAGUACCUUUUUAAUGGGUAUUUACUUGUAACUGUCUGUUAAAUAGAUUUGGAGAGGUGGUUGCCCGGAUAUAAGUCGAAUCUCUAAUGUGUAGUAUCUCAGGCUGAGUUUAGCUGUAGGUCAUGCAGAGUUGAGGGCUAUAAGGAUUAAUUUGGGUGCAACUUUAUUGCAAAAGUCGUGGACAAUUUUCAAAAAUUUUCCAACGCGUGUUCGUUGUAGUUUAAGUUGAGUAUAGCAGGAGAUAUAGGUUUUUGAAUUUUAGUUGUCCAUUGUUUCAAUCCUAUCAGUUUUGCAACAAAAGAGUUGCAUUGUUUUAUCGGUUUGGAAACCAAAUCCGAGACACUCAUUAUAAUAAAAGUUCUAGGGAAUGUUAUAAUCUUUUCAGUGAGUUUAUAUUUGCAAAAUUUUGUUAGCUGAAGGGAGUUAUGAUAUCAUGUAUAGAAUGUGCUUGGAUGAAUAUGUGGGCAGACAUAACAUGCUUAAAUUGAUUCUUGUUUGCAUGAUGUGAGAUUAGGCUUAAAUGAUUUAAAAAGUUAUCAUAUUGCUUCUAUACUUAUAUUUGUUCUAGGUGUCUCGUAAUGGAGAACCUAAAGUUAUUAGUCUUUCAAUGAACGCUUAAUCUUAGAAGAGUAAUGAACCUGAUAAAAUCUAUUGCUUGCUAUUGGGACUGCAUGACCAGUUUUAGUUAUGCAGCUAGUUCAAUAAAGUAAACCAUCUUUUCUGUAGAGAUGUUAUAUAUAAAGGUUGUAGCCAACUUCUUUAUCUUACUUGUGUAAAAAUUUCAUGACCAUAGGUCUAGUAGUUUGGGAGUUAUGAUUUUCUCAAGUCCAGUCUUGAAAUCUGUGCAAAUUCUGUACAGAUUUCGAAGCUGACCUUGUUUGCCCAAUUUAAACUUCGAAUAACUUAUUAUAAAUUAUAAAUAAGUUGUAGUACUUUUCUUAAUCGUUUCAACAAAUUUUGGAUUAAUUUUUUUGAGAUCUAUAAGUUAAGUUACAGCUGUUUUAAGUGUGAUCUAUAAGUUAAGUUACAGCUAUUUUAAGUGUGAUCUCUGAAUCUGUCCAAAUUUGGACAGCAGAGCCUUUCUCGUGUCUUUUGACCUUAAUAUGUAUUGAAUUAACUUGAUAUGUUUAUAAAUGAAUUAUAGAAAAUUCUACUAGCUUUCUAAAAAGUCUGGGAGCACCUUAAUUGGAUGAUUGAGACUCCAAUUAUGGAUUUUUGAAUUGAGUAGUUGAAUUAUGUCCAAGUCUGGACAUAAUUUACGUUUAGCAUUGUUUGACCUUUCUAAGUGUCAAAUCUUGUUGUGAUGUUAAUACCAAGGGUAUAGUGGAUUUUAUAAGCUUUCCAUAAAGUCCUAGUUUACUAAUUUUUGAUGCAUAUUUUGUGAGUUAGGAGCAAAACAAUUAACCGUUGUGCUGCUAUCUAGAAAUAUGCAAGCAUUAAGUUGCUCUCUUGAAGUUGCUCUUGUUUGGCUAAGUUUGGUUUAGGCUAUAGGAACAUUAUAUUCCUUGCAUUCAUAUAUACAUUCCUUUAAGUACUUGCAUAUGUCAAUGAUUGAUUUGGUGUCAGGAAAGCUUGGUCCGAGGUAUAUAGGACCGUCUACUAUCUUGGCCGAGUUGGCAGCUGGGCUUAGCACAUGUAAUUGUCGGAAUCUAUGAUCAGAGUACACCAAGUAUUCCAUGUCUUUAUGUUGAGGAAGUAUUUGAGGAAUCCAGACCAUCAAAUCGAGCUAGAGCCGAUUCCUGUGUAGCAAGAGCAGACUCUAGAGUGUCGUCUGCUGCGUAUCUUAGAAUCCUAGGAGCUUGAGGAGCUGAUGCAGCAGAAGUACUCGAACUUUUCUUUAUGUGUGAGUUUUUUUGAUUCAUUAAUCUUUCUUUUGUUGUUCCGAUAGAAGCGUCGGAAUUCGAGGUCGAAUUCUUUUUAAGGGGGGUAGAGUGUGACACCCGGUUUGCAAAGAAGAGAAAUUGGAUGGUAUUCUUUUUGUUUUUUUUCUCUCUUUCGGUGGUUGCAUUUUGGGAAUUUGGAAUUUGAGGAAAAACAUUCACCAGUAGGGCAGUAGAAUUUCUUUGGUUAGGCGCUUGCAUCGGGGUCGGGAGCCGUCGCGUGGGCGUGUUGGGCCGCAAAUCUUGUUUCGGCCCACUAACCCCCAUAACCCUAGCCGCCCUCCCCCUAACCCCCCCUCCAUUCUUUGUGCAGCCGCCCCCCCAUUCCCCUACCCUCUUGGCCGCCCCCUCCCAUCUCCUCCUUUCUCAAGCACUUGCAGCCACACAUCAAACCCUAGCCGCCCCCCAUCUCCUCCUCCCAUGGUGCCAUUCGUUGCCGCUCGGAUCUCCGUCGCGUGGUGCAAAUCUUCAACGGUUUUUGGUGGAGGGAGGAAGGGAGGAAGAAAAGGGGGAGAACCCAAGGUGAUUUUUGUGUUUAUCUCUUGUUCAUUUUAUGCGGCAAUCCAAUUGUUUAGAUGUUGCGGGUGCGAUUCGGUGGAAGGGCUGUCCAGAAUUUUAAGGGGGUGGACGAACAACAGCAGAAUUAGUGAUUUCUGGGCAUUUUUCAUGGAGAAUUAAAGGGAAUCAGUUUGGGAAUCAUGUAGAACUUUGGCAUACCUUUCCAACGAGUAUUUAUGCACUCAAUUUGGAGUUAUAAAUUAAAAGUUAUCACCAUUUGAAACCGGGUAGGUGGCUGUCCAAAAAACAGAUUUUCAGGGGGAUGAACAGCAGCAGUAUUAGCAGUUUCUGGGGAUUUUUCGGGAGUAAUUAGUGUUAAUCAGUAUGAGAAUCAUGUAGGGCUUUAUGUUAUCUUUCCAACAAGUACUUAUGCGCUCGAUUCGGAGUUAUAAUUUAGGAGAUAUCGUUGUUUGAAUCCGGUUAUGUUGCUGUCCAAAAAAACAGAUUUUUCAGGUGGGUGAACAGCAGUGGUAUUAGCAGUUUCUGGGGAUUUUUCGUGGGUAAUUAGUGUUAACCAGUAUGAUAAUCAUGUAGGGAUUUGUCUUAUCUUUCCAAUGAGUACUUAUGCGCUUGAUUUGGAAUUAUAUUUUAAAAGAUAUCGCUGUUUGAAUCCGGGUAUGUCGCUGUCCAAAAGACAAAGAAAAACAGAUUACAGGGUUCAUCUUGUGGACUGUUUUGGGCUAAUUAGAUAUUUGAAUUUAAUUAUAAAUUGUAUACAAAACUUGUGGGGAAUUUUAUGUAGAUGCCUCUGGAGUUUUUGUUUGUUACCACUGCUGUCAUAAUUUUAAAGUUAUGAAAUUAUUAAGCAGCGCCGCUGCAGUUUGGUGGGUGUAGGGAGAGAUGUAACCCGCGGCGGGGUUUGAGUUUGUGCGUAGUUGCGGCGUCACUUAUGAGCCUGAUUAUGUGAAAUUGGUGCACUAAGUUGGGUGUCAAAAACAGGUGGUGGACUUCCGGAUCGUACUUAGGGAUUUGCCCGAACUUCCGGUAAAGGCAAGUAAAUACAGUGGUGGUUGCUACCGUUUGGUUUCCAUCCUAUUCCCUGUCAUUGAGUAUGCAUAAGUUUUAAUUAUGUUAAUCAUUGAAUUCUAUGAUGAAGUUUAUUUGUUUGGAAGUAUUAAUUCUCAAUUGUCUAAUAUUGUGGAUGAUCAUAAUUUGGUAAUGAUAUAUGUGGUUGAUUCCCAUCUUGGAUGAAGUUGAAGUAUCUUUUUGAAUCAUGUUAUAUGAAGUGUUGUAGGCAUGACAUGCACAUCGCAUCAUCCAUCUUGCAUUUUGAAGUUAUGUCGUGAUCUUAUGGUCCGACCGUACCGGUACAUUUUUAGCAUCGUACGUUGCCCGAGGAGGGGUACGAUGCGGCUUCAUAUCCUUAGUGGUAUGAAGGCAGAAGUCAUCCUUGCAUUUGCAGACAUUUGCACUCAUGAGGAAUAUAUGAAGUGUGACAUUACUAUAUUACUAUUGUGGUUUCUACCUGCGAGGUGUGGUAACUAGGUGUGUUGUACGUUGUAUACGUGCUGCACCUUCGUAAUAAGAAGGUUGUGGAAUCAAGUGGUGGUAAAACAAUGUUCUUAUGUGGUUAAACUGUUUGAUAUUAUUUUACUUGCUGAGAUGUGUCAUCUCACUCUUGCAUUACUCAAUGCAGGUACUUGAUACAUGUUGGGAAUGAGGGGAGUAGCAGCACGUCCACUUUUACUCUCACAAUAACGCUGCAUAGGCGCAA